CUCUUAUCUAGAGUGGCGGAGGGACUAGGCCCUGCGAUGCCCGGCAACCGGCAAGUGAUUAACUUGCAAAGGUGCUAAUUCCUACAGAUUUCUUUAGUGGAGAUCUGAAAGAUAAGAG
rfam:Paenisporosarcina sp. HGH0030 genomic scaffold acAqH-supercont1.1, whole genome shotgun sequence.